GACCUGGUAGUACAGUGGUUAAACACUUGGCUGCUAACCAAACGUUGGUGGUUCAAACCCACCAGCUCU
rnacentral:tRNA from 1 species